UUUCCGCAAAUGGUGGGACUUUUGAGAAGUUGUUUUUUCAUUACGUCAUGAUUGCACCGACGACAGCGACAGAAAUAGACCACUGCAACCAUGAGAGUAUUAAAUAUUUUACUAUGCUGCAUCUGUAUGACGGAUGUCGUUAUUGGUUCGAUUGACACAAAACUGCGCUAUUACGAGACACUGAGGGAUGUUGACUUCAGUGUUCGCAAAAGGAGAAGUCUUGAUGAUGACCAGUCACAUGAUGUGCACGUCAAGUUUGACACACUCGGAAGACAUUUUGAUGUUAUGCUGAAGCCUGAUGCAUCAAUUUUCGCUGACGGUUUUAAGGCUCAGAUAUUGAACAAGGAUGGCAGUGGGUCUCCACUGUUUAUCAACAAGAACGACUUUUAUUCGGGUCACCUUGCAGAUAAUGUGUCCAACACGGUGAAGGCACAUGUGGAAGAUGGGGUUUGGAAUAUGGUUAUACACACAGAAGACGAUCUCUACGCCAUAGAGCCAUCAUGGCGGCAUCUGUCUGAAGCUGACCAGCGAUCCAUGAUAGCUUACAGACACUCUGACAUCAAGUGGGAUCACAGCUUUCCUCACUUGGCCAACCACAGUAAUAGACAGAAGCUGUGCCAGUCGAUUCACCUUGACCCUGAGCUAGAUGGAGGACAGGUGGAGAGUGAUGAAGAUUCAAGUACAAAUCACGAUCAUCAAAGAUCGAAACGUCAAACGUGGCGGAUGACGAAAAAUACUUGUAAACUUAUUGUCGUAGCAGAUUAUCGCUUUCACGAGACAAUAGGUGGAGGCUUUCCUCAUCGCACAGCUAAUUAUCUUAUCAGCUUGAUGAACAAGAUUGACAACAUAUACCGUGACACGCUCUGGAGCAACAAGACAGGCCUCAAGGGAUUUGGUUUCCAAAUACAAGAUUUACGGAUACAUGAAGCUGAAACGAUCGGAAAGCUUCAUUAUAAUAAUCCUAAAGACUGGGCCACUCGAGACUUGCUACAGGUGUUCAGCCAGGAUAUGUAUUUCUCGACUUUUUGUCUCGCUCAUCUCUUUACGUACCAGGCGUUUGAAGGUGGAAUUCUGGGAUUGGCUUACAUCGCGUCACCGCGACUGGGAACCAUUGGUGGCAUCUGUUCAUCCACAUACAAGAAAAACCGGAUCCGCCACACACUGAAUACGGGUUUCAGCAGCUCAAUGAACUCUGGGGGGAACCGUCUGCUCACACUUGAGUCAACUCUUGUCGCAGCUCAUGAACUAGGUCACAACUGGGGCAGUGAACACGAUGUUGAUAAUGGCGAGUGUGCCCCGUCUUCGUUCCACAACGGUAAAUACCUCAUGUAUCCUUACGCUGUCAACGGAUUUGAAGAAAAUAAUCUGUUGUUUUCACCAUGCAGCAGAAGAUAUGUUGGUGCUGUUAUUAAUGCUAAAGCAUACAAGUGUUUUUCAGCGAAGGUUGAGAAUAUACCGCUGUGUGGUAAUGGGAAGGUGGACCGGGGAGAAGACUGUGAUGGAGGGGAGCAGGCGAGGAAUGGUCUUGAUCCCUGCUGUACAUCCCAGUGCAGGUUUAGAGGAGGCGCUACCUGUAGUUCGAUGAACUACGAGUGCUGUGAGAAAUGUCAAAUGGCGAGUCAUGGAUUUCCGUGUCGUGGUGACAGCAAGUACAGCUGUGUCAAAGCUGCAGUGUGCAGUGGUACCAGCUUAGACUGUCCUAAACCUGAGCCGAAGAAUGACACCACACCAUGUCUCGAAGGAGGACAGUGUUUUGGAGGACUGUGUUUGUCAUACUGUGAGGUGAGAGACAGGAGUCUGAUAUCGUGUCAGUGUGAAGGUGAUGCUAAGCAAGCGUGCCGGCGAUGUUGUCGUAGUCGACGUCCGGGAAGUAAAUGUCAGCCAGAAGGAACAGCCAUACAGAUGAAAGGUCGGCCAUGUUACCUGGGAUUCUGCUCGGAGGCAUGUGUAUAAAACCAAAGUCGAAGUUGGUGGAGAGAUUAUUUGAUGUUAUAGAGAAACUUACUUCUAGUCAGCUUGUUGAGUUCAUGCGAAGUAACAUCGUUGGCACAGUGAUCGUGUUUUCCAUGGCAAUCUGGAUACCUGCCAG
rnacentral:misc_RNA from 1 species